rnacentral:misc_RNA from 1 species
UACGAGGGGUGCAAACGUUAUUCGGAUUAACUGGGCGUAAAGGGUGUGUAGACGGUUGAUUAAGUUCGUUGUUAAAGAUCUCGGCCUAACCGAGAGAUUGCGAUGAAAACUAAUCGGCUUGAGGGUGAAAGAGAGAAGUGGAAUUCUCGGAGUAGCGGUAAAAUGCGUAGAUCUCGAGAGGAACACCGAUGGCGAAGGCAGCUUCUUGGUUCACUCCUGACGUUGAGACACGAAAGCGUGGGUAGCAAACAGG